rnacentral:tRNA from 2 species
GGGCAUGUGGCGGAACUGGCAUACGCGUGCGUCUCAGAAGCGCAUGGAGCAAUCCUUGGGAGUUCAAAUCUCCCCAUGCCCA